ACCUUGCCAGUUGCCAUUGUUAAUCAAUGGCAUAAUCAGUAGGUGUUAAAUGGCGUUCCGGUAUUCACGACGUAAUGGAUAAUGGAAAUGGUUUUGUAGAAUGAGUUAAAGAGAAGUUUUGAGAUUACAGUUGAAAGAAGUGAAAUAUUUUUUAACUAAAUUUGUUACACAUUUAAAGUAUAUUAGAUAAUUUUCCUUCGAGAUGGAUGUCAAAAUCCACUUGAUUUGAUGGCAGCACCAGGAAGUAAAUGUGACUAUGUCAUCACAUUUCAAAUCAUUAGUAGAAUACAAAGAAUACCAACAAUUCCCCAGAAUGAAAGAUAGGAGAAGAAUCAUAGUCUGGAUUGUACCAAACUUACCACAUCAGCAAACCCAAGAAUGAACACGAAGAAAAACUAGUAAGUUUUUUACCUUCACAGUGUGUCAUUCUGAAGCAGAGCUCCUGAAAUAAAGUUGAACGUUUUGAACCGUUUCAGUCCAAAGUUCAAGUUAAGAGGCAUUAGAAAAGAGUUGGCUUUUUGGUUAGAGUUUCUUCGACGUCCGAUGCCAUGCAGAUCCUGUCGAGGGAUCUGAAUAUAUUUUAGCGCUCAGUCGUAAUGGUGUUUACUUCCUCGACAAAAAUUUGAUAAAUUAUCAUUAUCUCGAGACUGUAUCAACUCGCAAAGUCAAAGCGGAAGAGGACCCUCUUUUCAUGGAGUCACCCGCAUUCAAUCAGAUCAAACGCACGAGACAUCCCGCGUUGUCUAGCAACUUACCAUCCAGCUACGCAUCUUUCAACAGAAUGUUAAAGAGGAAAGUAAUUGAUGUAAUGCCGACUCGAUGAUUUCCGUGCAAGAUGAAUGUUAAAUCCACGGAGAUCUCGUAAGCAGAAUGCAAAUGACUAUGUCAUGUCAAACCAUUAGCUGAAUACAAUGAAUACUAUCAGUUCCCUAGAACGAGAGGUUAAUAAUCAUACUGAAUCAAAAUAGGUACAUACUUGAACGAGAUUUUUAAAUGGUAACAGUUGGAAACCCAUGAGGAAAUAUCGAAAAACGAUAUCUUCACGUUACCUUUAGACGCUGAUUCGUCCCGAAGAUAAAAUAUAUAUAUAAAAAAAAUAAGUUAUUUUUAUAAAUUGAAGUGCAUAUCUGGGCUCCCUUCUUUUCUGUGGCCCCAUUUCCCCUUGACUCGUAAUAAGCCCGUAGGGGGUCAUGCCCCUACUGUG